AGCUAUAUGCUAGUGUGUGUGUGUGUGUGUGUGUGUGUGUGUGUGUGUCCAGGUGUGGUAACAAAGGAAUCAAAAUGGAGGAUCAGGUUCAAAAUGGAGGGUUAAAUCCAAAAUGGAGCUGAUACCACGUGCGGAUGGAAAUGAGCGGACACACUAAGGAACUGACGGAACAGGCGGGAGAAUUUGGUGUGGUAACAAAGGAAUCAAAAUGGAGGAUCAGGUUCAAAAUGGAGGGUUAAGUCCAAAAUGGAGCUGAUACCACGUGCGGAUGGAAAUGAGCGGACACACAAAGGAACUGACGAAACAGCAAAUGAGCACAGCAGUGCAUCACCUGUGAGAUCAUGAGAAGGCUGAAGAACCAGGAGUGACAAGAUAUCACCUGAUGGUGGGGUACAUAAUUAAACCCAGGGACAAGUAAGCAAACAGAG